rnacentral:sRNA from 1 species
AAUGGAUUACAUUUAUUAAAACAUGAUACCGUGAGUUUACUGUGACGCGUUUUUCUCUGAACACUGCUGAAGAAUAAAAAAACAAUUAUACUAAUUUUUGUACUAAGUAUAGAAAUAAUGGCCAUUCGUGCAGGAGUUUGGAACCUAAAUAUUUGCACCUGAAAAUAAUAGAAACCAUAUUUCCUUAAUAAAAUUUAAGGAAAAUAUAUUUUAACAUAAUGAUUAAAUCUUAUUUUAAUGCAGACCUAAUAUCAGAUUCAUCAGUGAGUAAGAAUCCCGAUUCUACGCAAAGAAAUUGAAUUGAUUCUGUUUUUUCCAAGAGAUGAAAUUGCUUCUUGUGGUUAUGAAAGCAGGUCCAUUAAUGAACAUAAGAGGAAGGACCAUGGAAAGGAGUAUAUCUCUUACAUAUUCACAGAAGAUUAUGCCAAGCAGGAAUACUGUGUAUCAGACCUAAUUUUCAUUGGAAGAACCUGACUGAGGAAGUGAAAAGGAAAGGAUGGGAAAUAGGAAAACAUUUGAAAAUAAGGCUGUUGACAGACUGGAGAGGAAGGAGGAGAUUGAAAAUUUAAAUUGUGCUACCUGAAACAAUGUAUUUUCAUGGAUACAAAUAUGUCUUUGCCUAUUUAAAAAAGUACUAGUUACUAUGAGGUAGGAUUUAUCCAUGUCAGUUAUGGUACAAUAUGCUUUAGGAAUUUAAUUCCUAGGGACUUAAAUUGAAAGUUAGUAGUAUGGUUAUUUAAAAACUCAUUAAAACAAUUUAAAAAGA